CCUACGGGAGGCUGCAGUGGGGAAUAUUGCACAAUGGGCGCAAGCCUGAUGCAGCCAUGCCGCGUGUGUGAAGAAGGCCUUCGGGUUGUAAAGCACUUUCAGCGGGGAGGAAGGCGGUGAGGUUAAUAACCUCAUCGAUUGACGUUACCCGCAGAAGAAGCCCCGGCUAACUCCGUGCCAGCAGCCGCGGUAAUACGGAGGGUGCAAGCGUUAAUCGGAAUUACUGGGCGUAAAGCGCAGGCAGGCGGUCUGUCAAGUCGGAUGUGAAAUCCCCGGGCUCAACCUGGGAACUGCAUUCGAAACUGGCAGGCUAGAGUCUUGUAGAGGGGGGUAGAAUUCCAGGUGUAGCGGUGAAAUGCGUAGAGAUCUGGAGGAAUACCGGUGGCGAAGGCGGCCCCCUGGACAAAGACUGACGCUCAGGUGCGAAAGCGUGGGGAGCAAACAGGAUUAGAUACCCUAGUAGUC
rnacentral:rRNA from 1 species